UACGUAGGGUCCGAGCGUUGUCCGGAAUUACUGGGCGUAAAGAGCUCGUAGGUGGUUUGUCGCGUUGUUCGUGAAAACUCACAGCUCAACUGUGGGCGUGCGGGCGAUACGGGCAGACUAGAGUACUGCAGGGGAGACUGGAAUUCCUGGUGUAGCGGUGGAAUGCGCAGAUAUCAGGAGGAACACCGGUGGCGAAGGCGGGUCUCUGGGCCAUAACUGACGCUGAGGAGCGAAAAGUGUGGGGAGCGAACAGG
rnacentral:rRNA from 1 species